UACGUAGGGUCCGAGCGUUGCCCGGAAUUACUGGGCGUAAAGCGCGCGCAGGCGGCUUCCCAAGCGCCACGUGAAAGCCCCGGGCUCAACCCGGGAGGGUCGCGGCGAACUGGGAGGCUUGAGGCCGGUAGAGGUGGGUGGAACUCCUGGUGGAGUGGUGAAAUGCGUAGAGAUCAGGAAGAACACCCGUGGCGAAGGCGGCCCACUGGGCCGGUGCUGACGCUGAGGCGCGAAGGCGUGGGGAGCGAACGGG
rnacentral:rRNA from 1 species